GACGAACGCUGGCGGUGUGCUUAACACAUGCAAGUCGAACGGUAAGGCCCUUUCGGGGGUCCACGAGUGGCGAACGGGUGCGUAACACGUGAGUAACCUGCCCUCAUCUCUGGGAUAACAGUCGGAAACGGUUGCUAAUACUGGAUAUGAGCUUGCAAGGCAUCUUGUGGGUUGGAAAGAUUUUUUUUGGUUGGGGAUGGACUCGCGGCCUAUCGGCUUGUUGGUGAGGUAGUGGCUCACCAAGGCUUCGACGGGUAGCCGGCCUGAGAGGGCGACCGGCCACAUUGGGACUGAGAUACGGCCCAAACUCCUACGGGAGGCAGCAGUGGGGAAUAUUGCACAAUGGGCGGAAGUCUGAUGCAGCAACGCCGCGUGCGGGAUGACGGCCUUCGGGUUGUAAACCGCUGUCAAUUGUGACGAAGCGUUUUUGUGACGGUAGCAGUAGAAGAAGCACCGGCUAACUACGUG
rnacentral:rRNA from 1 species